AGUGAAUCUAUCGUUUGGAUGGGAUACGAAUUCUAUGAAACUAAUUUCAACGAUCCAACCGUCAAUCUUGUUUGGAUAUGCUUCGAGAUCGCAUAUGCCAAAAAUCACAAAAAACAAACAUUCAGAGAUCAAGUAAUGAGACAAAAACUUUCGACGGUUAUAAAAUAAAAAAUCACGAUUUAACGGUUAUUUUAACUUCGAUUUUAAUGAUUUUUUACAAGUACACUUGUUGACCCUAUACGAAUACAAUGAAUGAAUUCGAUCGUCAAUUUAAAUUAUUUACACAAGUGGAUACCACAAAAUCUUAUGUUAUACUUAAUGAAAGUAUAAAUAAACUCUAAGUGUUAGUGAAUCUAUUGUUUUGAUGGGAUACAAAUUCUAUGAAACUAAUUUCAACGAUCCAACCGUCAAACUUGUUUGUAUAUGCUUCGAGAUCGCAUACACCAAAAAUCACAAAAAACAAACAUUCAGAGAUCAAGUAAUGAGACAAAAAUUUUCGACGGUUAUAAAACAAAAAAUCACAAUUUAACGGUUAUUUUAACUCCGAUUUUGAUGAUUUUUUACAACUACACUUGGUGACCCUAUACGAAUACAAUGAAUGAAUUCGAUCGUCAAUUUAAAUUAUUUACACAAGUGGAUACCACAAAAUCUUAUGUUAUACUUAAUGAAAGUAUAAAUAAACUCUAAGUAUCUAUCGUUUGGAUGAGAUACGAAUUCUAUUAAACUAAUUUCAAUGAUCCAACCGUCAAUCUUGUUUGUAUAUGCUUCGAGAUCGCAUAUGCCAAAAAUCACAAAAAACAAACAUUCAGAGAUCAAGUAAUGAGACAAAACCUUUCGAUGGUUAUAAAACAAAAACUCUUUCAUUUUGCAUAUCCUUGCACAUUUAAUAUUUUGUAAUAGACUAUUGUAUGGAUGUUUUUUUAUUAGGCUCUUAUUUUCGAGUGUAGAUGUAUUACUUAAAUGACAAAUAUGUUUUAAUGUUUUGAAGUAAUAUUUAUAUGGUAAUGUGUGGUAUGUGCAAAUUUAAGAAAAAAAUAUAUUUUUCUUAACGGGUUAUAACGGGUCGG
rnacentral:lncRNA from 1 species